rnacentral:rRNA from 1 species
UACGUAGGGUGCGAGCGUUAAUCGGAAUUACUGGGCGUAAAGCGUGCGCAGGCGGCUUCGCAAGUCAGGCGUGAAAGCCCCGGGCUCAACCUGGGAACGGCGCUUGAAACUACGAUGCUGGAGUGCGGCAGAGGGAGGUGGAAUUCCACGUGUAGCGGUGAAAUGCGUAGAUAUGUGGAGGAACACCGAUGGCGAAGGCAGCCUCCUGGGCUGACACUGACGCUCAUGCACGAAAGCGUGGGGAGCAAACAGG